UUUGCCAUGUAAUCUCCCUUGA
rnacentral:misc_RNA from 1 species